AGUAGCUAGGUAAGGACUACUAGCCAGUCAGAAGCAGAGUAUGAGGGCGUGCCCUGACAGUAGCUAGGUAAGGACUACUAGCCAGUCAGGAUUAAAUAAAGUAUCUUUUGAGCCUAGUUCUCUAACUUUGUUCAUUUUUCGCCGGAUUUGUCCUUUUUGUUCCAUUAUGUAUCAUGGGGCACUGAUUCUCUACUGCUAAUAGGUUGAUGAAAAUCAUGAAUUGUCUAUAAUUCUUUAGACAGAACCGAUAUCUUUUGGGGCUUUAAAAAA